rnacentral:rRNA from 1 species
GAUGGGCUCGCGGCCUAUCAGCUUGUUGGUGAGGUAAUGGCUCACCAAGGCGUCGACGGGUAGCCGGCCUGAGAGGGUGACCGGCCACACUGGGACUGAGACACGGCCCAGACUCCUACGGGAGGCAGCAGUGGGGAAUAUUGCACAAUGGGCGGAAGCCUGAUGCAGCAACGCCGCGUGAGGGAUGACGGCCUUCGGGUUGUAAACCUCUUUUAGCAGGGAAGAAGCGAAAGUGACGGUACCUGCAGAAAAAGCGCCGGCUAACUACGUGCCAGCAGCCGCGGUAAUACGUAGGGCGCAAGCGUUAUCCGGAAUUAUUGGGCGUAAAGAGCUCGUAGGCGGUUUGUCGCGUCUGCUGUGAAAUCCCGAGGCUCAACCUCGGGCCUGCAGUGGGUACGGGCAGACUAGAGUGCGGUAGGGGAGAUUGGAAUUCCUGGUGUAGCGGUGGAAUGCGCAGAUAUCAGGAGGAACACCGAUGGCGAAGGCAGAUCUCUGGGCCGUAACUGACGCUGAGGAGCGAAAGGGUGGGGAGCAAACAGGCUUAGAUACCCUGGUAGUCCACCCC